rnacentral:rRNA from 1 species
GACGAACGCUGGCGGCGUGCCUAAUACAUGCAAGUCGAACGCAUUUUCUUUCACCGUAGCUUGCUACACCGAAAGAAAAUGAGUGGCGAACGGGUGAGUAACACGUGGGUAACCUGCCCAUCAGCGGGGGAUAACACUUGGAAACAGGUGCUAAUACCGCAUAAUUCCAUUUACCGCAUGGUAGAUGGGUGAAAGGCGCUUUUGCGUCACUGAUGGAUGGACCCGCGGUGCAUUAGCUAGUUGGUGGGGUAACGGCCUACCAAGGCUGCGAUGCAUAGCCGACCUGCGAGGGUGAUCGGCCACACUGGGACUGAGACACGGCCCAGACUCCUACGGGAGGCAGCAGUAGGGAAUCUUCGGCAAUGGACGCAAGUCUGACCGAGCAACGCCGCGUGAGUGAAGAAGGUUUUCGGAUCGUAAAACUCUGUUGUUAGAGAAGAACAAGGAUGAGAGUGGAAAGUUCAUCCCUUGACGGUAUCUAACCAGAAAGCCACGGCUAACUACGUG